rnacentral:lncRNA from 1 species
UUAACAUAUUUUCUUACUUGCGAAAGUUUCCAUAUUUACCGGAAACUCUCUCCUUAUUCCUAUAGGAGAUAUGAAAACUUAAUAUUCCAUAUAUAUAUAUAUUUGCUACUCACCUUUCAUACGCAGAACUUAGGGUUUUCUUCUUAAAGUUUUAGUAAAUAUGAUGCUUUCUUCUCAACUAAAGUUUGCCGUUGCCACAAAGAUGGCUUGCUGCUGGAAGAGGAAUAUCUCUCAAAUUUCUGAUUUUGACGAUAUGCUGUUGGAGAAAGAUGACAAACAAAUUCGAGCAAUGAUGUUGAAGAAUCAUUUCGCUAACAUAAUUUUCAAGUCCGAACAACAACUAUUCGACAAAGAAUUUAAUGAACAACAACUGAUGAAGCAAAAAGUGUAGUUGCGUGAAGAGAUCAAGAAAGCCGAGUUGAAGAAACAAAGGCAAGGGCGGCUCUAUAAAAUUGGUGGCCUAAAGCCAAAUUUUAAUAAGAGGCCUUAUACUUUUUUUAUUAGUACGUAUCCACACAUAUAUGCAAAAAAAAUUAAUCUUGCCAUUUUUUUUUUAUAUUUGUUGUUUAUAGAAUAUCUUCUUAAAUAACAUAAAGUCUUUAACUUCACAUGGUAAUAUUAUUAUUUAUAUUAAAAAAGCAAAAUUUUAACAAAUGAGAUGUUAGACAUGUAUUUACAAUAUAUUACCUUUGAUGUUGUUGUAAAAAAUAUAUUUACAAAUAUUCAAGUAGUUAAUUCAAAGUUUAAAAAAAUAUUUCCAC